AUGGACUUGACGCAUGAAAGGUCUUCGGUGCCACGGUACUUGUCAGGUCAUCAUGUAGACGUACUUUCGAAGAGGAAUUUGUCGCGUCCCAAAAUGAGCAAGGAAAAAGCCCUCGCUCAACGGUGCUCCAACUUGACGAAAUUCACGAACGGUUAUUGGCGUAUCCUGGUCUUGGAGAGGUCUAUGGAAAAGAACUUGGCGUUCACGGAGACAAGGAGCCGCGGUCUUGGCGUCGAGCAGGGGUGCGAAGGCCAACGAGGGGCGAGGUCGACGCUGUUGUUGCCUGCCAGGAGGCGAAGCAAGGCGGGAGGAUGCCGGUGGAGUAGGGUCGGCCUAGGCGUGAAGCAGCGACCCGAGCAGGGAGCAGGGAGGCCGGAAGGCGCGUUCUGGGAGGCGCCGUGCAGGUUGUCGGCGAGGGCAACGGAGAGGUCCGGCUCGCCGGGCCGACGGACGGCAGGGCAAGGGCCAGCGCGGAGUGGGGCUCGAGCGCUGCAAAGGGAGAAGGACGGCGGGAGCUGCAGGGUGCCAGCGAUGCUGAUGGUCUCACGGGCCAUGCCGGGCGACGGACGCAACUCGGGGGAGGCGCGGAUGCGGGGCCUCGCUAGUGGCCUGCUGGACGGGCGCGAGGAAGGAGACGCUCGGAGGAGGCUCGCGGGCAGGCAGCAGCGCAGCUGCACAGGGCUCCGGCGACGCGAAGACUUGGCGCGGGGUGACGGCGCCAUGGGAGGUGCGCUGUAG
rnacentral:rRNA from 1 species